AACGAACGCUGGCGGCAUGCCUAACACAUGCAAGUCGAACGAGACCUUCGGGUCUAGUGGCGCACGGGUGCGUAACGCGUGGGAACCUGCCCUUAGGUUCGGAAUAACUCCCCGAAAGGGUGCUAAUACCGGAUAAUGUCUUCGGACCAAAGAUUUAUAGCCUUUGGAUGGGCCCGCGUUGGAUUAGCUAGUUGGUAGGGUAAAAGCCUACCAAGGCGACGAUCCAUAGCUGGUCUGAGAGGAUGAUCAGCCACACUGGGACUGAGACACGGCCCAGACUCCUACGGGAGGCAGCAGUGGGGAAUAUUGGACAAUGGGCGAAAGCCUGAUCCAGCAAUGCCGCGUGAGUGAUGAAGGCCUUAGGGUUGUAAAGCUCUUUUACCCGGGAUGAUAAUGACAGUACCGGGAGAAUAAGCUCCGGCUAACUCCGUG
rnacentral:rRNA from 1 species